UAUAACAUGAGAGUUUGAUCCUGGCUCAGGAUGAACGCUGGCGGCGUGCUUAACACAUGCAAGUCGAACGAAGCACCUGGUCACGAUCCCUUCGGGGUGACGACCUUGUGACUGAGUGGCGGACGGGUGAGUAACGCGUGGGAAACCUGCCAUGUACUGGGGGAUAACAGUUGGAAACGACUGCUAAUACCGCAUAAAACUGUCGGAUCGCAUGAUCUGAUAGCCAAAACUCCGGUGG
rnacentral:rRNA from 1 species